rnacentral:tRNA from 1 species
GGCCCAGUGGUGUAAUGGAAACACACCCUAAGACAUCUCUGCCUCGACACGAUAAAGUCGGGGUAGGGGAUCGUGGGGGGAGAAGCAGGUUCGAAUCCUGCCUGGGUUA